CACACCUUCUCUUUAUUUGUUCACUGGUCUGUUGAGACACUGGGCUGCUGGCCAGGCUACAGAGAGGAAGAGGGUUCAAGGGAGCUCAUGCCUCCUGGGAGUGGCAAACAGGAAGCGAAAGAAUUGCAAUGCAUUGGGAUAAAUGUUGGGCCAUGAGGAUGUGUCAUGGAUAAUGGGAACCCAGGAAAACAGCCCCGCCCUGUCUGGGGAAAUUGAUGGAAGACCUUCCAAGACACGAGUCCAUUUUAAUUGAUCUCCCAGACAAGCAAAGGGAGCGUGUGACUGGUAUUAAAGUCCAUUGGAAAUGUGAA